GAUGAAGAACGUAGCGAAAUGUGAUACGUAAUGUGAAUUGCAGAUUUCAGUGAAUCAUCGAAUCUUUGAACGCACAUUGCGCCCGCCAGUAUUCUGGCGGGCAUGCCUGUUCGAGCGUCAUUUCAACCAUCAAGCCUUCGCUUGUGUUGGGGCCCCGCGGCUGCCGCGGUCCCCUAAAUCCAGUGGCGGGCUCGUCGUCGUACCGAGCGCAGUAGACAUCCUCGCUCCGGGAACCCGACGGGUGCCGGCCGUGAAACCCCCCACAUCAAGGUUGACCUCGGAUCAGGUAGGAAUACCCGCUGAACUUAAGCAUAUCAAUAAGCGGAGGA
rnacentral:misc_RNA from 1 species